UACGUAGGGUGCGAGCGUUGUCCGGAAUCAUUGGGCGUAAAGAGCGCGUAGGCGGCCCGAUAAGUCCGCUGUGAAAGUCAAGGGCUCAACCCUUGAAUGCCGGUGGAUACUGUCGGGCUAGAGUCCGGAAGAGGCGAGUGGAAUUCCUGGUGUAGCGGUGAGAUGCGCAGAUAUCAGGAGGAACACCGAUGGCGAAGGCAGGUCUCUGGGCCACUACUGACGCUGAGAAGCGAAGGCAUGGGGAGCGAACAGG
rnacentral:rRNA from 1 species